GUGGGGAAUUUUGGACAAUGGGGGCAACACUGAUCCAGCCAUGCCGCGUGCGGGAAGAAGGCCUUCGGGUUGUAAACCGCUUUUGUCAGGGAAGAAAUCCUUUGGGUUAAUACCUCGGAGGGAUGACGGUACCUGAAGAAUAAGCACCGGCUAACUACGUGCCAGCAGCCGCGGUAAUACGUAGGGUGCAAGCGUUAAUCGGAAUUACUGGGCGUAAAGCGUGCGCAGGCGGUUUUGUAAGACAGAGGUGAAAUCCCCGGGCUCAACCUGGGAACUGCCUUUGUGACUGCAAGGCUGGAGUGCGGCAGAGGGGGAUGGAAUUCCGCGUGUAGCAGUGAAAUGCGUAGAUAUGCGGAGGAACACCGAUGGCGAAGGCAAUCCCCUGGGCCUGCACUGACGCUCAUGCACGAAAGCGUGGGGAGCAAACAGGAUUAGAUACCCCAGUAGUCC
rnacentral:rRNA from 1 species